rnacentral:rRNA from 1 species
UACGUAGGGGGCAAGCGUUAUCCGGAAUUACUGGGCGUAAAGCGUGCGCAGGCGGCUUUGCAAGACAGAUGUGAAAUCCCCGGGCUCAACCCUGGGAAUUGCAUUUGAGACUGCAUAGCUAGGGUGCGGAAGAGGGAAGCGGAAUUUCCGGUGUAGCGGUGAAAUGCGUAGAGUAUCGGAAGGAACACCAGUGGCGAAAGCGGCUUCCUGGUCCAGCACCGACGUUCAGGCACGAAAGCGUGGGGAGCAAACAGG